UCUUGAGCCCCUGUUUCUGGCGCGUAGAGACUGUAAAUCACUGCACUUCUCACUCAUCAUCACCCCAGCUUUUCCUAGCUCGAAUUCAGCCUCCAAGUCACGGUCGCAGGAAAGUACGCUAAGGGGAAAAAGCAUCUGUCCCUGGGCCACCUUCUGAGCGUGGUGGAGUUCGCUUGGGGUUUGCUUAGGGUCCAAGAAGCAGAGAGGACAGACCCAGCCCUCACAGAGAAGAGGGCUGGAAAGUCCUGGAGAACCCGGCAGGGGAGGGGCCGCUGUUGCGGUUGGGAGGCCAGGGUGCAGCGCUGGGGUAGCAGAUUCCGAGAUCCGUGAAGGUGCCUGUCUUGGUUUCUCGCAGUAGUCAGAGGCUCCCUGCUCUCCAGCCGCCCAGUGACUCGACUCAAGCCUAAUCUUCAGCACCCCUUGGGACGACCUUUUUGAUGCAAACCUCUGAUUCUGUUUCGCAGGAUCCUCCCCCACCGGCACCAGAAAAUCUGACAAGAACUUGAGGUGUCAGCCCUGAGUAGUGAGACCUGCGGUCUGCGGGACAGCUGUGCCUGGAGGAGAAGGACGCUGGUGGGGCUGAGAGCAGAGCUGUCUUCUGGCCCCGCGGCCCCCCAUGCCUCUGUCAUGGCUAACAGUUCUAGGGGCCGGAAUGGUCGUCCUGCACUUCCUGCAGAAACUCCUGUUCCCUUACUUUUGGGAUGACUUCUGGUUCCUGUUGAAGGUGGUGCUCGUUGGAAUUCGGCUGGAGAAGUAUAAAAAGAGAGGGGAGCUGGUGACUGUGCUGGAUAAAUUCUUGAGUCAUGCCAAAAGGCAACCUUGGAAACCUUUCAUCAUCUAUGAGGGAGACAUCUACACCUAUCAGGAUGUAGACAAAAGGAGUAGCAGAGUGGCCCAUGUCUUCCUGAACCAUUCCUCGCUGAAAAAGGGGGACACGGUGGCUCUGUUGAUGAGCAAUGAGCCGGACUUCAUUCACGUGUGGUUCGGGCUGGCGAAGCUGGGUUGCGUGGUGGCCUUUCUCAACUCCAACAUUCGCGCCAAUUCCCUCCUGAAUUGCAUCCGCACCUGUGGGCCCACGGCCCUAGUGGUGGGCGCAGAUUUACUUGGAACUGUAGAAGAAAUCCUUCCAAGCCUCCCAGAAGAUAUCAGUGUUUGGGGGAUGAAAGAUUCUGUUCCACAAGGUGUAAUUUCACUCAAAGAAAAACUGGGCACCUCAUCUGAUGAGCCCGUGCCACGCAGCCGCCAUGUUGUCUCAUGCCUCAAGUCUACUUGUCUUUACAUUUUUACCUCUGGAACAACAGGUUUACCAAAAGCAGCUGUGAUUAGUCAGCUGCAGGUUUUAAGGGGCUCUGCUGCCCUGUGGGCUUUUGGUUGUACUGCUGAUGACAUUGUUUAUAUAACCCUUCCUCUGUAUCAUAGUUCAGGAGCUAUCCUGGGAAUUUCUGGAUGUGUUGAGUUGGGUGCCACUUGUGUGUUAAAGAAGAAAUUCUCAGCAAGUCAGUUUUGGAGUGACUGCAAGAAGUAUGAUGUGACUGUGUUUCAGUACAUUGGAGAACUUUGUCGCUACCUUUGCAAACAACCUAAGAGAGAAGAAGAAAAGGAUCAUAAGGUGCGUUUGGCAAUUGGAAAUGGUAUACGGAGUGAUGUUUGGAGAGAAUUUUUAGACAGAUUUGGAAAUAUAAAGGUGUGUGAAUUUUAUGGAGCUACUGAAGCAAACAUAUCUUUCAUGAACCACACUGGGAAAAUUGGAGCAGUUGGGAGAACAAAUUUCUUUUACAAACUUCUUUUCACUUUUGACUUAAUCAAGUUUGAUUUUCAGAAAGAUGAACCCAUGAGAAAUGAACAGGGGUGGUGUAUUCAUGUAAAAAAAGGGGAACCUGGACUUCUCAUUUCUCGAGUGCAUGCCAAAAAUCCCUUCUUUGGCUAUGCUGGGUCUUACAAGCACACAAAAAACAAAUUGCUUUGUGAUGUUUUCAAGAAGGGAGAUGUUUACCUUAACACUGGAGACUUGAUAGUCCAGGAUCAGGACAAUUUCCUUUAUUUUUGGGACCGUACUGGAGACACUUUCAGAUGGAAAGGAGAAAAUGUUGCAACCACAGAGGUUGCUGAUGUUAUUGGAAUGUUGGAUUUCAUACAGGAAGCAAACGUCUAUGGUGUAGCUAUAUCAGGUUAUGAAGGAAGAGCAGGAAUGGCUUCUAUUAUUUUAAAACCAAAUGAAUCUUUAGAUUUGGAAAAACUUUAUGAACAAGUUGUAACAUCUCUACCAGCUUAUGCAUGUCCACGAUUUUUAAGAAUUCAGCAGGAAAUUAGUGAGAAAGCCAUUGGGCUUCAAGAGGCCAGGAGGCUGGGAAUGAGCAGCAUUUCAGUGGCUAACUGCAUGCAUCUUUGGGAACCAGAUAAAACAAUGACUGAGAUAGUUGCAUAGCUGGUAACCCAACGCUAUCUUUCCUCAAAUAACUUUAGCACACUCUGAAGAACUUAGUCCUAAUAUCCAGGGAAAUGCCAGGAGAAAGGAGGCCAAAAUUGCCUGAAAUUAAGUGUUGUUAUCUUGCUUUUUAAAAGGGAAUUUAGAUUAAUUGUGGUUAGAAGUAAAAUUUAAAUGCCCUAGAGGGUAAAUUAAUUAAAAUACAGGAAAAAUCACCAGAAUGAAUCUUUACAGAUAGAUACCCAGAGGGUCAUCUAUCAAUCAGUUGUACUUCUUGGGACUUCUGGUAUGAUGCACAAGGUGGAUCUCUUAGAAUUGACAGAUAUUUUGCCUCUUUCUCUCUGUUUGUAAAUUAGGCUGGAAUGGGAGGAGCAGCCAAGAGAUUUCAUCAGCCACAGUGUGCAUGAUGGAUGAGAACACGGGACACAUACCAGUGACGGGCAGUGACUUACUAAGAAUGAAAAUGAGAAGAGGAGGUAGAGCAACAUGGUCAAAUAGAAGCAUUCACUGAUCAUCCUCCCUGCAGGAACAACAAAUUGAACAACUAUCUACAUAAUAAAGCACCUUCAUAAAAAGCAAAAAUCAGGUGAGUGGUCACAGUACCUGAUUUUAACUUAUAUCACUGAAAGAGGCACUGAAACGGGUGGGAAAGAAAGUCUCAAAUUGUUGAUGCCACCCGUUGGCCACCCCCUGGCAGUGACCACAUGGGGUAGAGAGAGAAUCUGCAUUUGGGGAAGGGAGAGCACAGUGAUUGUGAGACUUUGCAUUGGAACUCAGUACUGCCAUUACAGCAGAAAGUGACACCAGGCAGAAUUCAGCCAGCACCCAUAGGGGAGUAUUUACACCAGCCCUACACAGAGUAGAAUCACCCAUUCCAGCAGUUGGAAUCUGAGUUCCGGGAAGCUUCACUACCAUGAGCUAAAGGGCUCUGGGUCGCUGAAUAAACUUGAAAGGCAAUCUAGGCUACAAGGACUGCAAUUCCUGGCUAGGUCCAGGCGUGGCGCUGGGCUUGGAGCCUGUAAACAUGGGAAGCAUGUGACCUAACAAGCAUGUGACCUUGAUCCCAUCAGCUGGGGCAGUCAAGGGAGUGCUUGCACCACCCCUCCCUCAACCUGAGGCAGCCCAGCUUACAACUCCAGGAGAGACUCCUUCCCUAUGCUUGAAGAGAAGAGAGGGAGAGUAAAGAGGACUUUGUCUUGCAACUUGGAUACCAGCUCAGCCACAGUAGGAUAGGGCGAUGGGCAGAUCCUGAGACCCCCAUUCAAAGCCCUAAGUUUCAGACAACAUUUCUAGACACACCCUGGGCCAGAAGGGAACCUGCUGCCUUGAAGGGAAGGGUCUUGUCCUGGCAGGAUUCAUCACCUGGUCAGUAAAGAGCUCUUGAACCCUGAACAGUGAGCAAUGGUAACCAGGCAGUACUUGCUGUGGGCCUUAGUGAGACUCAGAGAUGGGCUGGUUUCAAGUGUGACCCAGCAAAUUCCCAGCUGUGGUGGCUGUGAGAACUCCUUCUGCUUGAGAAAAGAAGAGGGAAAAGUUAAGUCUACUUUGCUUUGUAGCUUACAUACCAGCUUGACCACAAAGUAGACUCUUGGGGCCUCCAAUUUCAGGCCUUGGCUCCUGGAUGACAUUUCUGGACAUGUCCUUGCCCAGAGAGGAGUCCACUGCCCUGAGUGGAGAGUCCCAAGCCUGGCAGCAUUCACCACGAGCUGACUGAAGAACCCUUGAGCCUUGAGUGAACAUCAGCAGUAGCCAGGCAGUAUUAAUUGUGAGCCUGAGGUUGUGGUGGCCAUGGCGAGAAACUUCCUUGCUUGCAGAGAGGUACAGAAGAGUGGAAAAUACUUUGUCUUGUGGCUUUCAUGUCAAACAUGAAGGAGAAAAUAGAUUCCCUCAGUUUUUGUUUCUCAGACAAACAAAAACUGAGGGAAUCCAUUAACACCAGAUCUGUGCUACCAGAAAUGCUAAAGGGAGUUCAACCUGAAAGAAAAAUACAUUAAUGAGCAGUAAGAAAUCAUCUGAAGGUACAAAGCUUGCUGGUAAUAGCAAGUACACAGAAAAACAUACAACAUUAUAGCACUAUCGUUAUGGUAUAUAAACUACUUAUUUCUUGAGUAGGAAGAAUAAAUGAUGAACCAAUCAAAAACAGCAACUAUGAAUUUUCAAGCCAUAGACAGUAAAGUAAGAUAUAAACUGAAAGAAUAAAACAUUAAAAGCAGUGAGACAAAGUUCAAGUGUAGAGUUUUUUUAGUUUUAUUUGUGUUUGUUUGCUUAUGAAAUCAUUGUUGUCAUUAGUUUAAUAUAAUGGAUUAUAAGAUAUUAUUUGCAAGCCUCCGGGUAACCUCAAAUAAAAAACAUACAACAGAUACA